GAUGAAGAACGUAGCGAAAUGCGAUAAGUAAUGUGAAUUGCAGAAUUCAGUGAAUCAUCGAAUCUUUGAACGCACAUUGCGCCCGCCAGUAUUCUGGCGGGCAUGCCUGUUCGAGCGUAAUUUCAACCAUCAAGCCCCCGGCUUGUGUUGGGGACCUGCGGCUGCCGCAGGCCCUGAAAACCAGUGGCGGGCUCGCUAGUCACUCCGAGCGUAGUAAUACAUCUCGCUCAGGGCGUGCUGCGGGUUCCGGCCGUUAAAAAGCCUUAUUUACCCAAGGUUGACCUCGGAUCAGGUAGGAAGACCCGCUGAACUUAAGCAUAUCAAUAAGCGGAGGA
rnacentral:misc_RNA from 1 species